UCACUUUCAUAGCUUGUAAAAUGGCUGCACUUUAAUAUUUGUGAAAAGAGUAGAGACUAGAGUUAAGACAAAUGAGCAAAGCAUCUGGCCUACUUUGGAUGAGAGAGGUAAACAAAAAUAUUAGUUCUCUGAUGGGUUAAGGAUUAUAGAUGACACCGGUCUAUCAACAGGAUGGCUGUGGGGCCCGGGUAGUUUGCAGGGACUGUGUUGUCACACAGUGACUUCAUCAAGAGCCCAUCCCACUUCCCCAGAACGGCAACACACCCUUCUGGCCCUAACUGUAUCAUGGCUGUCGGGCUCCUCUGCUAUGUGGCCCUUUACCUUCUGGAGGCAGGCCUCGUGGAUGCUGGUGUCUCCCAGAUGCCAAGACACUGUGUUUCAGGGACAGGAAAGAAGAUUGUUCUGGAAUGUUCUCAAACUCUGGGCCAUGACAACAUGUACUGGUAUCGACAAGACCCAGGAAAGGCACUACAGCUGAUCCAUUAUUCAUAUGGUGUUAAUACCACUGAGGAAACAGAGCUCUCCUCUGGAUCAACUGUCUCCAGAAUAAAGAAGGAGCAUUUUCCCCUAACGCUGGAGUCGGCCAGCCCCUCACAGACAUCUCUGUACCUCUGUGCCAGCAGUGAAUACACAGUGCCACACAGGCACCUGCAGCCUGCAUAAAAAGGGCAGAAUCAC